rnacentral:rRNA from 1 species
GACGAACGCUGGCGGCGUGCUUAACACAUGCAAGUCGAACGGAAAGGCCCUGCUUUUGUGGGGUGCUCGAGUGGCGAACGGGUGAGUAACACGUGAGUAACCUGCCCUUGCCUUUGGGAUAACUUCCGGAAACUGGGGCUAAUAACGGAUAGGAGCUCCUGCUGCAUGGUGGGGGUUGGAAAGUUUCGGCGGUUGGGGAUGGACUCGCGGCUUAUCAGCUUGUUGGUGGGGUAGUGGCUUACCAAGGCUUUGACGGGUAGCCGGCCUGAGAGGGUGACGGGCCCCAGGACCACUGAGGUACGGCACAGACUCGAACGGGGAGCAGCGGUGGGAGAUAUUGCACUAGGGGCGGAAGACCGAUGCAGCGUCGCCGCGCGCGGGAUGACGGCCUACGGGUUGUAACCCGCUUUCGCCUUGCACUAAGCGUGGGUGACGGUAACGGGUAAAGAAGCUCCGGAUAACUACGUG